UACGUAGGGGGCUAGCGUUGUCCGGAAUCAUUGGGCGUAAAGCGCGUGUAGGCGGCCCGAUAAGUCCGCUGUGAAAGUCGGGGGGCUCAACCCUCGGAUGCCGGUGGAUACUGUCGGGCUUGAGUACGGAAGAGGCGAGUGGAAUUCCUGGUGUAGCGGUGAAAAUGCGCAGAUAUCAGGAGGAACACCAAUUGCGAAGGCAGCUCGCUGGGACGUUACUGACGCUGAGACGCGAAAGCGUGGGGGAGCAAAACAGG
rnacentral:rRNA from 1 species